AGCGGCGGACGGGUGAGUAAUGCUUAGGAAUCUGCCAUUUAGUGGGGGACAACAUUCCGAAAGGAAUGCUAAUACCGCAUACGUCCUACGGGAGAAAGCAGGGGAUCUUCGGACCUUGCGCUAAAUGAUGAGCCUAAGUCGGAUUAGCUAGUUGGUGGGGUAAAGGCCUACCAAGGCGACGAUCUGUAGCGGGUCUGAGAGGAUGAUCCGCCACACUGGGACUGAGACACGGCCCAGACUCCUACGGGAGGCAGCAGUGGGGAAUAUUGGACAAUGGGCGGAAGCCUGAUCCAGCCAUGCCGCGUGUGUGAAGAAGGCCUUUUGGUUGUAAAGCACUUUAAGCGAGGAGGAGGCUACCUAGAUUAAUACUCUGGGAUAGUGGACGUUACUCGCGGAAUAAGCACCGGCUAACUCUGUGCCAGCAGCCGCGGUAAUACAGAGGGUGCGAGCGUUAAUCAGAUUUACUGGGCGUAAAGCGUGCGUAGGCGGCUUUUUAAGUCGGAUGUGAAAUCCCCGAGCUUAACUUGGGAAUUGCAUUCGAUACUGGGAAGCUAGAGUAUGGGAGAGGAUGGUAGAAUUCCAGGUGUAGCGGUGAAAUGCGUAGAGAUCUGGAGGAAUACCGAUGGCGAAGGCAGCCAUCUGGCCUAAUACUGACGCUGAGGUACGAAAGCAUGGGGAGCAAACAGGAUUAGAUACCCUGGUAGUCCAUGCCGUAAACGAUGUCUACUAGC
rnacentral:rRNA from 1 species